UAGUAAUUGUUGCAAAGUUAGGGAACCUAGUUCGUCCGUACAAGCAAUCAGAACAGUUUGAAUGGGAGUUCCAUACCGCCUUACCGAAUUGCUCUAUUCACAAAGGAACAAUUCUUCAUUUAUUGAAGAAUUUUCAGUUUGGUGACUGCACUAAUGUGACACAACACACAAGUAUUAUUCGAUCAGCUCUUCAACAGAGGAGAGGAAAAUAGUUGUUGCUACAUGCGAAUUGGAAUCAAUGUGGUACCUCCUUAUGAUGUGAUUUUCAGAGGACUGAAUAUCAUUUGCAUGAUUAGAGGAACCCAUCAGGUUUGGAGUUGGCCUUCAGUUUAGUUCUUUCUCUUAUUUACCAGAUUGCUGUUAAAAGAUGAUGGAACAAAUGAUUUGAAUGUGUUCUUUGCAUGUAAAGCACUGUGGUGGUUUGUUUGUGUAAACCGAGCUACUCAAGUCUGGAAAAGAGGUGAUUUGUUAGGGGAUUGGUUUUUGUGGCUCCUGAAGUAUAAUGGCGAAGCAUAAUGGUAAGAAGCUGGUUGUUGCCUUGUGCAGGCUUAAAGGGGAUAUUACUACUGCGUUUCUGUUGUAUGAAUGAGCUAUGUUGUAUUCUUUUACACGACACGUUAACUUGUAUGAUAAUGCUAUCAUAUAGCACUUCUGUAGUUUGUUAGCUGCCUAUUAUUGAUCAAAUGUUAGUAUUUGUACUUGUCAACUAAUUACAUUAAAGUUUAACAACACUUUUAUUCCCAUUACUGUCUACAGAACCAGCUUUUAUAAUUGUACUCCAUGUAUUAUUUCUCACUUAAAAAAUGUUACAUUAUCAGUUACUUGGAAAUGCUAAUGAGGAGUUUUGCAUUCUGGUACUAUAACUAACAAUUUCAUACAAAGUAAUAUGCAUAAAGUAACAUUCUACACUACAAAAUAGAUCUUGAAAAGGAGUAAAUGGUCAUCACGGUAUGAAAUGGAGAAAGUACAGCAAUGUAGUUUUCAGAUGUGCUGCUCAUCUAAGCAUGGCUGUGGGUUGUGUCGAGCCAACCUUAGUUUCUACCUUAACACGCGACAUAAAUUUUCGACUUGGUGCAGUUGUGCACUUCUCUAUCUCACCAUGUUAAACCAUUUUAACUCGAGGAAAUGCAUUUCGUACAAUCAAUCAACUCUUAAUUUGA